AAUACUGAAAACACAUAAAAAUAAUAAAAUGCAUGAAAUAAUCCUAAAAUGACCUAAGAUGGCUAAAAUAUCCUAAAUAAUAUAUUAAAAUGUAUAAAAAUAAGUUAGAAAAAUAACUUAAACACCGGGUCAUCAAUUUUCUUCCUUCUCCUCUUUCAUUCGGCCUCUCACCAAUAUCCUUUCAUUAGAUUUUUAGAAGAUUUGUCUAAACUACACUGCGAGGUUUUGGAACUUCCUGUCUUUUGCAUAGAUGCUGCCUUCUAAUUUCAAAGAAAUAAUGCGCAGAGUUACUUUCCCCUCUGAUCAUACAAUAUUGUUUCUCAUUCUGUGCUUCAAAAUCUGAUUUUUUUAUUUUUUAUUUUUUUCUUGCAAAUCCUCUUAACAGACAAACAUGUUGCAUUUUGGGUAGGUAAGUGUUUGUGGAUAAAUAGAUUCCCAUAUCCCCUCAGCUUUUGUUUGUUAUUUAUCUCUGGUUUUAUAUUCAAACCAUGCCCACAUUCAUAAGUGAUGUUUCAAACUUGAUUAUUGAGAGAUAGAUUGUUUCCUAUUAACUAUUUUUCUGCUUGGUCUUGGAAAAUUGUCUUGGACUUGCUGAGUUGUUGACUAUCUUAUGAACGUGCAACCAAUUUAAAAUACACCCUUUCCUUGGAGCAAGAAUGGAUACAAAUUAUGAUUUCUGUAGAUUUCGCAAUUUGAUUUUUUAGUUUUAAUUUUUUUCAGGUGAUGUGGAGAAAGGCUAAUCAAUAAGAAAUGAGACAUGCUUUGGUGGGGAUGCUGACAGUCUAGAUCACAUGUGGCAGAAUAAGAAGGCUGAGAUCAAGCAGCAAGAGAUUAUGUUUUCAAGGUCUAUUUUUGUUAGAGAUAUUUGAGUAUUAUGAUCAACUUAAAGGUGAAACAAUUGUUGGGAGAGAGGAGCAGCAAAGGAAAAACAUUGCAACAAAGUGAAGGAACCACAUUUAAUGAAAAUGUAUCUUCUACAUGAUUCAACAUUGUUGUCAUUGGAGGUUCCCUUUUAUUUUAUUGUUCUCAUCCCUUCACAUAUUGUGAGAAGAAGAUUGUGAUGAAAUAUUGAUGAUAAUUUUUGCCUGAGAAUAAUCAAAUAAGCUUUUUUUAAACCUUUGAAAGAGAUUGCUUUACCAUGAAUUUUUCUAUUUGAGUGAAAAGAGACUAACCUUUGUAUCAGUUGUAUCUUCUAUUAAUGAGAACCUUUUCGAAAUAUCUGUAUAGUUUAGUUGAGCUAUAAGUGGUUUAUUCUAUUAAUGAGAUCCUGAUCUGAUAAUUAGUAUAUUUUAGUUGAAGCUAAAAGCUAAUUGUAGCUUAUCCUGAUCCUGAUCACGGUGUUUUAUAGUGAUAUGGUUCUUAUUUUUUAUAUGACAGGGAUUGAUUACCGGGAAUAGGCAUUAUGUGUCUUUCACUCUAUGUCUGGGUUAUUUUUGCUCUUUGUUUUCAUUCUUCAAUUGAUACUAAUAUUUUUCUGUUAAAUUUGUUUUUUUCAAGUCUUAUAUAACAGACCAGGGUAGAUUGAGAGAUGAAAACUGGGGUCUAUUUUGUAUAGUCUUAGGUGUAUAACUGAAGCGGGACAUGUUAAAUCAAUUAUUUGAAUUUGAACUCAGUAUUUUUCUUCUCUCACAUUGUGGACUUGCUGUGAUUACAGAUUUGGACAGAUCAAUAUUUUAAACAUAUCUUGCUAUCAGUGAUGAGCUUUAAUCUCUAUCCAGGGAGUUGCAAUGUCGAAAUAAAUUUUGAUGUGUUAAGCGAAUAUAUGGUAGCAAAGGAAGAAGUAGAUUGUAGAAAACUAAAGUUGUGGAAACUGCAUAGAAAGUGCUCUUUUCUUUAAGGCAACAAUCUGAAGAGCUUUGAUGUGAGCCAGAACAACUUCAAGGGCAGAUUUCCCAACAGGCUUCUGAAGAGCUGCAUGAGUUUGAAUGUGAGGUCCCUGCAGGGUACAAUACAGAACUAGACAAUCAAAGGAUGUCAUCUUAGAUGAACAGACUUUAGAAAAGGAGGAAGAAUCCAAGGGAACAAACCAAGAAGGAAGAUACCAAGGGAACAAACCAUGAAGAGAAAGGGGCAAAGAAGAUGAAAGCUGAUAAAAAAACAUGGGGCUGAUAUUAGUCAAGUUCUAUCCUUGGGACGUUAAUCAAUAUAUUUUUUUAGUGCAGGUACAAUAAAGAACUAGACAAUCAAAGGAUCCCAAUUGAUUGAAGUUAGGCCUGCUGAAAUGAUUUUGUAAAGAUACAUGAGGGCUUUGUAGUGUGAUUAGGUGUUGAAAGAAAAUAUGAAAUUUAAAUUGUGCUGAAUAGGAGCUUGAAUUCUAGGUUUAGGUCAUUUUUUCUACUUUGUUAUCAGUUAAAUGUAGGGUUGUUUAGAAAAUAAAAGGUUGACCUUUAAUUCCUUGAAGAAAUUAACUGGCUUUUCU